rnacentral:rRNA from 1 species
GACGGAGGGUGCUAGCGUUGUUCGGAAUGACUGGGCGUAAAGGGCGCGUAGGCGGCUCGUGAAGUCGGGUGUGAAAGCCCGGGGCUCAACCCCGGAACGGCACUCCGAUACUGGCGGGCUUGAGACCGGGAGAGGAGGGUGGAAUACCCAGUGUAGAGGUGAAAUUCGUAGAUAUUGGGUGGAACACCAGUGGCGAAGGCGGCUCACUGGCCCGGUACUGACGCUGAGGCACGAAAGCGUGGGGAGCAAACAGG